CGGGUGGGUGUGCUAAGCUGCAGUGACUGGGAUAAGGGGGAUUCUUCCCAGGGAGAUGAGUGACUCCGAAAUCCACCAAGCAGAACGAUCUCCGGGCUCUGAGUGUAUUCCAGAUUCCCGACAUCUCGGAGGUGGAUCUAUCGUAAUGACUUGUCUACGCUUCACCACUUGGAUGCUGCCAGACCUGCUGAGCUUUCCAGCAUUUUUUGUUUGAGAAGGAAGACAGCAGCCUUUUUGCAGUCCAGAGCCAGGCCACAGCCGAGAGCGAAUGUAAGCUGCUCCCCAAGUUGCCGCAUGUGGGAAUAAAGUGCCUGCGAGUGCUCCUCAAACCCGCCUGGAAGGGCAGUGCCAGAGUCAUUGACUGUUUCACGGAUCAGUGCAGAGAGACACCAGAUACCAUCUCAAGGACUCCCUUUCCUUUGAGCCAUUGGCCAAAUUUCUCCAUUUAUAUAUUUUAUUUCAUUGAUUUUUGUGUGUGUAUCUGUAUCUCCAAAGAGUAAUUAGUAUAAUUUCAUAUUCCAUAUUGUUAUGUUGAUCAGCUUUGCCUUAGUGUUUGACAAGACUUUUUUUAAACCAAUGAACAAAAUUUGUUAUUUAUCGAAAGCAG